rnacentral:rRNA from 1 species
UUAAAGUACUGCUGGUGUAGAGAUGAAAUUCUGUCAUACCUCUUUUCAAAAGAAAAACCAUGGCACAGGUAUAGGCGAAGGCAUCCCCUUAUGUGAUAACUGACGUUGAGGGACGAAGGCUUUGUGUAGCGAACAGGAUUAGAUACCCCCGUAGUCGAAGCAGAAAAUGAUGAAUGUCAUAGAUUAGAUGUAUAAGUUUAUUCUAUAAAUUAAAGUGUAAGCAUUCCCCCUCCUGAGUAAUUUGGCAACAUUGGAACUGAAAUCAUUAGACCGUUUCUGAAACCAGUAGUGAAGUAUGUUGUUUAAUUUGAUGAUCCGCAAAAAACCUUACCCCAAUUUGAAAAUUUAUAUUUUUUAUUGUUUUCUUCUCUUUUUUCUUAAGAAAAUUAAGAAAGAGGCAAUAAGAUAUAUUUACAAGCGUUGCACGGCUGUCUUCAGUUAAUGUCGCGAGAC